GGUGCACCUGUGGCUUUGCGACCUUCCCACGUUUCCUUCAGGUAAAAACUCACCUGACGCUGUGGAAGUAGGUGCUUCAUUUCGUAACAAGACUGUUAAAAAAUAAGGCUAACUGUAGAUAAUCGUGUUUUAGAAGGACGACUUGCACAAUCUCCAACAGUCUUACAACGUUACACGGCCAUUCUUCACAAUGACAAUCAAGGGGGUUGCCUUUUAUGCUCCUUGCUGUCUUCUGUUUCAGACACGAAGCAGACGGCGCUCCGGUUACUGACCCUGUCACAGCCUUCCUGAAGCCACGUACAGGCUGAGGCCGGCAACCUGUGGCCCGCCUUCGACUACACCAACGACAACCGUUUCGAUGACAACGACCUCGUUCUUUUUCUCUAUCAUUAUGACCUAGACAGAAAUGGAACAAUUGAAAGGAGCGAGUUCGAGGAGAACUUUGACAUGCAGGAACCCUCGUUAGCUUUGCUGGCUCACGGUCUCUUCAUUGAGUUCGACGCCGACAAGAGCGGUCACAUCAACAUGGCGGACCUGCUGAACUUGUACAACCGCAUCGACCUGAACAAUGAUGGGUCUGUUUCCAAGCAGGAGUUCAUACAAUACUUCUCUGAGGUUUUGACUGUGGUAGCAAUUGUUCACCUUCGUAACCUUGGCUUUAGUUGAAGAGGUCAAAAAUGAAAGUCAAUGAAAAAUAAAAACUUAUUCACCAAAGA